GCUUUCUAACACAAUAAACUCCAUACCUCUUAGAACAACUUCCUAAGAGCACAGAAUAUACCAGCUGCAAGAAUACAUGGCAACUUGGAAAUCAUCCUCCACUCUUCAAAAAGCAGGAAUAUAGGGGACCACAUCAUUUUGCCACCGCUACCCCAUAAAAGGUAUGCUGCGUGCACGAUACUGAUCCACUCUGCUUUUCUCCACGUGGACUGCUUCUGUGUUGCUCUCUUAUUGAUGUCUGCAUAACCUGUAAUCAAGAAUAAAACAUAAAAUCAUUACUGAUAAAGCUUGCAUAUGAUGCAAAAUCUGGGGGAAGCAGUAAAUAAAGAAGAGGACAGAUCACUGAUACAGAGCAAUCUGGAUUGCUUGGGAAACAGGACACAAGCAAAGGUUAUGUUUUCUAAUACAACUAUAUGUAAGAUCAUACAUCAAGGAACAAAGAAUGUAGGCAACACCUGCAGGAUGGGGGACUCUAUCCUACGAAGCAGGAACUCUGUAAAAGACUUUGGGGUUAUGGUGAACAAUCAGCUGAACAUGAGCACCCAGUGCCACACUGUCACCCAAAGGGCUAAUAUGAACUUUGGAGUUAUGAAUAGGAAAUAUCAUGUAGGACUAGGAAGGUUAGACCCCCUAUUACAUGGGUUCAUUGAGUCUGUUCCGAUGUUGGACUCUCAGGCCAUCAAGCCUUUGUGAUUAUGCAGGAACUGACUAAAUGGCGAAUGAUCACUACGGCCGACUAUCUGGGUAAGCACUGAAAAAGAAGAAAAGAGGGCUGACAGUUCAUAACCACCAGAGACAAGAGGUCAUGACAGCAUUUUACAUGGCUAGAGACAGAUGAGGAUGGGCAGGCUGUGACCACCAGAUAGAAGAGGACCAGUAGAAAUUCCACACAGUUAGAAGCUUCCAAUCAGUACCAUGUCCUUAUUGUGGAAACUAUGGAAGAUACCUCUCAAGAUCGAGCUGUUCCAAGAGACUGGAGAGAUGUACCUAUGGAUGGAAGCUUGGCACAACCUGUAAGAAAAUCAGGUUUGCCCACAAAGAGUUGUCCAACUGAUCUAGGAAGAUAGAUGAUCCUUGUUGGUCAUUCAACACUCCAAAGAAUCAAAAGAACAUUCUGUAAGGGACAGGUGGACAACGAGAUGGUGAGCUGUCUUCCCAGAGCUAAGACAUGAGACAUCACUCUAAGACUGGAUAGACUUCUGAAGUCGAUGAGCAAGCAUGCUUUGGUGAUGGUUCAAUAUUAGCAUUAAUGACACUGAGGCACAGGAUAUCUCACAGAUAAUAGGGAACUUCAAAGAAUGCAUAAGUGUGCUGAAGAAGAAGAAGAUUGUCCAAGAGAUCAUCUCUAACAUCAUUCCUGUCCCAAAACUGAAAGAAGACAGAAAGCAGAAAAUCUGUAGCACCUAAGAACCCCAGUCAAGGAUCGGGGCCCAGUUGUGUUAGGGGCUGUACAAACACACAACAAAAGACAGUCCUUCACCUGAAGAGCUGAUAGUCUAAAUAAUAUUAAAGAGCUGCUGAUGCCUUCCAGUUUCUAGGCCAAGUUCAGAGAUGAUGAACUGCAUACAAUGGAGACUUCUCAGAGAGAACAUGUAGACAACAGAGACUGUUUGACCAAUGGAUAAUGACUAACCCAUCUCACAGUAAAGAUCUUUCCAACAAGCUGGAAAAAACUAUAAAAGAGAGGAAGUAACAUCAUCACUUGGCCUCACUCCCCCAACAACUCAACCCCUGGAAACAUGUCUGGAGGACAAAGACUUUGAACUGGGAGAGGGUGGCCUGAGACAAUAACAGGUUCAAGCCUGUUAUUAAGGAUCUGUGAUCUGUUUGUACCAUCUGUCAGGGUGAGACACUCUUGAUUCAAAUCCUGUUUACUUUGUAGAACUCAGACUAUGAAUUUAUUUUUGUUUCUUAAGUAACCAACUCUGAUUCCAAGCCUGCUACUUAUAAUUAAUUAAAAUCUAUAUUUCUA